GUAAAGCUAUUUCAGCUGUUGUUGUUUUAAAGUGCUUUAUAAAUAAAGUUAAUUGUAUUUAACCAACAUUUACUGCGUAAUAUUUCAAAGUGCCACAUUUAUAACCUGUUUAUUUGCUGUGAAAGAUUUUAUUUUUGCUGCUUUAUAUAAACCACCAUGUACAACGUUUUAUAAUUACGUGGAUAUUUAUUUUGUUGAUCAACACUGACACCUUGUGGCCAAUGAACUGUAUGACAUCAGUUUGUUUGUCCCCAAGGCAACAGCAGAGACAAAGGAAAAUGAGUCCCGGGUGGUGUGGCUUCGAUUGUAGGGCAGACAACAAUAAUAAUAAUAAUAAUAAUAAUAAUGAUAAUGAUAAUUUAAUCGUAUGAUUGAUUCAGAUUUCACACACUCAGACAACGUUAUUGAUCCCAGAAGGUUUUCAGUUUGGAUCAGUUAGGUAAUUCAGUAUGAUGUCCACCUUAACUGCUGAAACACAGAGCUGUAAACUCUUGACACCUGCUUCGACUCGAGCCUUCCUGCCUCGUCAGGAACAUGGAGGGCCGCCGCCUCGCUCUGUUACGACAGGACUGUGAGUUAACUGCCGUCGGAUGACAACAUGAAUCUUCUGAGGGGGAACAAAGUGAACCAGAAGUGUCAGAGAUGUGUCUGAACAUUUCUCAGAGUGUCUCCGUGUCCUCUGUGAACCUGGAAGAUGUAAGAAGGGAGGAGAUCGCAUCCACAUACCUGACAGGCAAAUACCUGUAAAAUAAAAAAUACGAUGUACAGAA